AGAGGAAAUUUUCCAUGUUUAUUCAAACUCUUCCGAAACCCAUUGGGCUGAGCCCUUUCGGAAGGUCCAUGGUCUGUCCAUGUUAAUGUGAAUCUGCACACAAUGCAGAUUAAAAACAUGGAAAUACAGUGCUUGAGGAGUCAGCUUCAAAGUGCUGAUGGAGUGCUAGUGUUAAGUACAACAAAAACCACACAUCUGGAGGACUGCAUGUUCUCCGGUCAGCCUACUGAUGGGUCCACAUAAGAAAGUAGAAAACAAAGAGCCUCUGCCCAAGCAAGGCUGGAGGGUUCUGGAAAACCCUAGGUCCUGCCUGAGCCCAAAUAUCACGUGAUCCUCAAAGGGCAACUGCAGCUCCAGGAACCAAGUAAAAGAAAUCCAGAGCAGGAAAGGGAGAGACGUGUGGCAGGAUCCUGGGAGCAGGCAGGCCAGGUCAAAGUAAAGGGGGCCUUGUGUCCCUUUGACAGGCUGGCAGUGGUCACAGGUGAGCGAUGAAUCCCCAGGGGGAAGGAAAAGAUUCUGUGAGAGUCACAGGAAGUGUCCCCCUGGAGGGCCGGGGUACGGGCAGGUGGGGGGUGCUGCUCAGGUCCCACCAUCGGCUCACCCCACAGGUUGGGCCAUCUUUGAGUGUAAGCUCUGGUGCGCAAUGAGGUGUGCACGCUGCUUGAAACUCUUGUCACACUCCCCACAGCCGAAUGGCCGCUCACCCGUGUGCACACGCCUGUGGUCUAGCAGGUAGGAACGCAGUGCGAAGCUCUUGCCACACUCGCUGCAGCUGAAGGGCUUCUCGCCCGUGUGGAUGCGCUGGUGGUCAGCCAGGUAGGCGCUCCGGCUAAAGCUCUUGCCACAUUCGGAACAGGAGAAGGGCUUCUCGCCCGUGUGCACGCCCUGGUGGCGCACUAGGUCAGAAGAGCUGCGGAAGCUCUUGUCGCAUUCAGGGCACUUGUGUGGCUUCUCCCCGGUGUGUGUGCGCUGGUGCCUGGCGAGGUCUGAACCCCAGCGGAAGCGCUUCCCGCACUGCGCGCAGCUGUGGGGCUUCUCCGCCAAUAAGUUCUGAAACUGGCGCCUGUGAGUGGGCGGCCGCCCCCGACGCGCUCCCACCAGCGGGUCCAGGGCUGUCCUCAUUGGGUUCUCGCUCUCCCAGACCUCGGUCUCAGCCUGCUCGGGAUUCCAGGACAUAGGCACUUCAGUCUGUCCCAACAAUGCUGUCGCUGCCUCCUCUGCAGGGGGCUUUUGGCUUUUGGGUCUCAAACC
ensembl:lincRNA Gm26695 predicted gene, 26695